rnacentral:rRNA from 1 species
GGAGUAUGUGGUUUAAUUCGAUGCAACGCGAAGAACCUUACCUUGGCCUUGACAUCCCGGGAAUUUCCUGGAAACAGGAGAGUGCUUUCAUUAGAGAGAACCUGGAGACAGGUGCUGCAUGGCUGUCGUCAGCUCGUGUCGUGAGAUGUUGGGUUAAGUCCCGCAACGAGCGCAACCCUUGCCUUUAGUUGCCAGCAGUUCGGCUGGGCACUCUAAAGGGACUGCCGGUGUCAAACCGGAGGAAGGUGGGGAUGACGUCAAGUCAGCAUGGCCUUUAUGUCCGGGGCUACACACACGCUACAAUGGCCGGUACAAUAGGUAGCAAGACCGCGAGGUGGAGCCAAUCCUAAAAGCCGGUCUCAGUUCAGAUUGCAGGCUGCAACUCGCCUGCAUGAAGUCGGAGUUGCUAGUAACCGCGCGUCAGCAAUAGUGCGGUGAAUACGUUCCCGGGCCUU